GGGGGAAUUGAUACAGGGAAAUAACUAUUUGCCUUUUGACCACUUAAAUAUUGUUUAAUAAUUCUGUUGGCCUUGUUUGUUCUUUCGAGGCUCGCUUGCCAGGGCCUGGCGCCUGUGGCGUCUGUCAAGUGUUAAGCUUAUCAGGGACUGGUAUUCGUCAAGGACUGACAUGCCAAACAAAGGGGUGAUAACAGGAACUGCAAUGUUAUUCUUAUCACAGAACUGGCUAGGACUUGUUAAAAACUGCUGAAAUCACCAAGUAAGAGAGCAUGUGUAAAUGACUAAAGUUCAUCUAGAGAACAGAAGAAGAGGAAGAUAAGACCCCUGAAGAAGUAAACGACCACCAGAGACAGAUCUGAGCCUGCGCAAGAUGACAUAAACAUUUUAGAACUGCUGACACAAGCUUUUGAACUAACCCCGCCCAACUUAUACAUAUGUAUAUUUUGUAUUGUGUAACCCUAUGAAUAUGUAUGGCUUGGUGUAAUAAAUAUCUGGCUGCUUGCUGAGACAGUGUGCAAGCUUUGAGGAGAAAUCCCCUUGCACCCAGCACCGAAAUAAACAUGCCUGCUUUAUAACUCA